rnacentral:rRNA from 1 species
GGAGUCACGCCGAAAUCUUACCCGGAGAGACAGCAGAAUGAAGGUCAAGCUGAAGACUUUACCAGACAAGCUGAGAGGUGGUGCAUGGCCGUCGCCAGCUCGUGCCGUGAGAUGUCCUGUUAAGUCAGGUAACGAGCGAGAUCCUCGCCACUAGUUGCUAUCAUUAUUCUCAGGAAUAGUGGGGCGAAUUAGUGGGACUGCCGUUGUUAAAACGGAGGAAGGAGGGGGCUACGGCAGGUCAGUAUGCCCCGAAACUCUGGGGCCACACGCGGGCUGCAAUGGUGGCGACAAUGAGCUCCAAACUCGAAAGAGAGUGGCAAUCUCUAAACGCUACCACAGUUAUGACUGAGGGCUGUAACUCGCCCUCACGAAUAUGGAAUCCCUAGUAACCGCGUGUCAUUACCGCGCGGUGAAUACGUCCCUGCUCCUUGCACACACCGCCCGUCGUUUCAUCGAAGUUUGCUUUUAGCGAGGUGAUGUUUAAUUGACAUUAUCGAACUUGAGGUAAGUGACGAGGGAAAAGUCGUAACAAGGUGACCGUAGGGGAACCUGCGGUCGGAUCA